UACGGAGGGUGCAAGCGUUAUCCGGAUUCACUGGGUUUAAAGGGUGCGUAGGUGGGCAGGUAAGUCAGUGGUGAAAUCUCCGGGCUUAACCUGGGAAUGGCAUUUGGGACUGCAAGGCUGGAGUGUGGCAGAGGAGACUGGAAUUCCUGGUGUAGCAGUGAAAUGCGUAGAUAUCAGGAGGAAUACCGAUGGCGAAGGCAGGUCUCUGGGCUGACACUGACGCUCAUGCACGAAAGCGUGGGGAGCAAACAGG
rnacentral:rRNA from 1 species